rnacentral:rRNA from 1 species
UGGGGAAUAUUGGACAAUGGGCGCAAGCCUGAUCCAGCCAUGCCGCGUGAGUGAUGAAGGCCUUAGGGUUGUAAUGCUCUUUUUGGCGGGGACGAUAAUGACGGUACCCGCAGAAUAAGCCCCGGCUAACUUCGUGCCAGCAGCCGCGGUAAUACGAAGGGGGCUAGCGUUGUUCGGAAUUACUGGGCGUAAAGCGCACGUAGGCGGAUCAGCAAGUCAGGGGUGAAAUCCCGGGGCUCAACCUCGGAACUGCCUCUGAUACUGCUGGUCUAGAGUCCGGAAGAGGUGGGUGGAAUUCCUAGUGUAGAGGUGAAAUUCGCAGAUAUUAGGAAGAACACCGGUGGCGAAGGCGGCCCACUGGUCCGGUACUGACGCUGAGGUGCGAAAGCGUGGGGAGCAAACAGGAUUAGAUACCCAUGUAGUCCCUGAGCGGGCUGGCAAGGCGCAU